GUGAAUCAUCAAAUUUUUGAACGCAAAUUGCACUCUCUUCGGAGAGUAUGCCUGUUUGAGGGUCAGCCUAUAAAAAAUCGACAUAGUCGCUGUUUCGCGGUGACAUUCGUCGGAAAUUGGGUCAUCUUAAAUCUUUGGGUUUUAAGCGGCUUAUAAUUUUCUUUACGAUUCUACGAAAGUUUCUAAGAUUUAAUUACACGUUUAAUGUAUGGAUUCUUUUUUGAUG
rnacentral:misc_RNA from 1 species